CCUACGGGAGGCAGCAGUGAGGAAUAUUGGUCAAUGGACGGAAGUCUGAACCAGCCAUGCCGCGUGCAGGAAGACGGCCCUAUGAGUUGUAAACUGCUUUUGUACAGGGGUAAACCUGAAUACGUGUAUUCAGCUGAAAGUACUGUACGAAUAAGGAUAGGCUAACUCCGUGCCAGCAGCCGCGGUAAUACGGAGGAUCCAAGCGUUGACCGGAUUUAUUGGGUUUAAAGGGUGCGUAGGCGGAUUGAUAAGUUAGAGGUGAAAUGUCCGAGCUUAACUCGGGAACGGCCUCUGAUACGGUUGAUCUAGAGAGUAGAUGAGGUAGGCGGAAUGUAAGGUGUAGCGGUGAAAUGCUUAGAGAUCAUACAGAACACCGGUUGCGAAGGCGGCUUACCGAUCUAUAUCUGACGUUGAGGCACGAAAGCGUGGGGAGCAAACAGGAUUAGAUACCCGAGUAGUC
rnacentral:rRNA from 1 species